rnacentral:rRNA from 1 species
AUAUCAAUAAGCGGAGGAAAAGAAACUAACAAGGAUUCCCCUAGUAACGGCGAGUGAAGCGGGAUGAGCUCAAGCUUAAAAUCUCCGUGCAAGUUUUGCGCGGCGAAUUGUAGUCUAUAGAGGCGUGGUCAGCGUGGGCACUUGGGGCAAGUUCCUUGGAAGAGGACAGCAUGGAGGGUGAUACUCCCGUUCAUCCCUGGGUUGCUCAUGCGUACGACCCGUUUUCUUUGAGUCGCGUUGUUUGGGAAUGCAGCGCAAAGUAGGUGGUAAAUUCCAUCUAAAGCUAAAUAUUGGUGCGAGACCGAUAGCGAACAAGUACCGUGAGGGAAAGAUGAAAAGAACUUUGAAAAGAGAGUUAAAGAGUACCUGAAACUGCUGAAAGGGAACCGAAUCGUUUCCAGUGUCUAUAAUCCGUGGCAUAUUUCAUUGGCGAGUGUGCGCGUGCGUGUGCUGUGGCAGUGGCUUUUUUGGCUGCGCUCGGUGUGUGUGCUGUGUGUGCUUGCUGGUGCCCUGUGCUGCGGUGGGACGUCAAGGUCAGUUCGUAUGCUGCGGGAAAUGGCUGCCGAGGAGGUAGGGCUUACGCUUGCGUUUGUCUGUUAUAUCUUGGUGGACGAGUCGUCGCGGUUGGGACUGAGGUGCCUACAACGUGCUUUUGAGUGGGUUUGUGUCUCCGUGUGCGCCGUGUGCGGAUAGCUUGCUAUGCGUGUGUGGUUGUGUGUGGAUUGAUGCGGGCUUUAACUUGUUGCCGUUCGGGACGUUGACGAAAUGGAGCGAUCCGACCCGUCUUGAAACACGGACCAAGGAGUCUAACAUGUGU